rnacentral:rRNA from 1 species
AUUAUGACGUACUUGUACUGAUUGAGAUUUUAACACGAAGUGAGUGGCGAACGGGUGAGUAACACGUGGGUAACCUGCCCAGAAGUAGGGGAUAACACCUGGAAACAGAUGCUAAUACCGUAUAACAGAGAAAACCGCAUGGUUUUCUUUUAAAAGAUGGCUCUGCUAUCACUUCUGGAUGGACCCGCGGCGUAUUAGCUAGUUGGUGAGGUAAAGGCUCACCAAGGCAGUGAUACGUAGCCGACCUGAGAGGGUAAUCGGCCACAUUGGGACUGAGACACGGCCCAGACUCCUACGGGAGGCAGCAGUAGGGAAUCUUCCACAAUGGACGCAAGUCUGAUGGAGCAACGCCGCGUGAGUGAAGAAGGGUUUCGGCUCGUAAAGCUCUGUUGUUAAAGAAGAACGUGGGUAAGAGUAACUGUUUACCCAGUGACGGUAUUUAACCAGAAAGCCACGGCUAACUACGUGCCAGCAGCCGCGGUAAUACGUAGGUGGCAAGCGUUAUCCGGAUUUAUUGGGCGUAAAGCGAGCGCAGGCGGUCUUUUAAGUCUAAUGUGAAAGCCUUCGGCUCAACCGAAGAAGUGCAUUGGAAACUGGGAGACUUGAGUGCAGAAGAGGACAGUGGAAC